AAAGCCAUAGACUCUUCAUUUCUUUGUCUUAUUAGCGCAGGUGUUCGUCAACGAUGAAAGCCGCUGAACUUCAGACUCGAGUGGAGAAAGAGGGCUAGGCCCCCGAAGGGCUUUCAGGGACUGGGGAA